CGCCGCUCGGCGGAGCCGCCGCUCCCACACGCUGCGCGUCGCCCGUCGCUCCGCGGCGCAGUCGGCGCACACGUGUACACCAUGAGACGCUGGCGGGUGCGCCUGCUGCGGCUGUGCCGUAACAAGGCCAAAGGGCCGCUGUUCACCGUGUUCGCUAUGUGCUGUGUGCUGCUCACGCUGUCGAUCGUGCAGAGCUGGCUGCAGGGGAGUCAACGAUCCAUCUCAGACUCGGAGGCGCUUCAGUCCCUCUCAGAUAUGGCCGAGCUGCUGGAGGAGGGCGCCGGCCGUCCCGACCUGGCCGACCAGCUGCGCAACGAUAUCGCCGCCGACACCGGGCUCGAACCGCCCGAGGACGACGGCGAGAACGAACGAGAAGUCAUGGAGUUCGAGGAUGGUGUGAGCCAGGCGAACAUCAGCAAGUCAUCGAGAGACCCGGAGGCCGACAUCGACCGGGAUCUCAGCUGCACCACCCACAUCAUGUUCCUGGCCGACAGUCAGCUCGGCAACUUCAUGGUCAAAUACGCGGUGCUCUACGGAUUCCAGCGGAAAUACAGCGCCAAAGUCUACCUUUUCCCAAAACAAUACCGAUUCGCAAAUAAAAUAUUCAAGAAGCUCUCCAUCGAUGUCGUACCAGAUGAGCUAAAGACGGCCGACUGGAGGCCGGUCAGCUACGAGGACAUCAUGUACAUGCUGCCCUGCAACAAAUACGUCACAGAAGAGGAGUUCUUCAUCGUGACUGACUGGCCGGCGGACAACGGUCUUCAGCUCUAUUCCCAAUACGUGGACGAACUCCGAAAAGACUUCGAGUUCACACCUGCAUUUAGAACUAGGGCUCGGAGGUACACCGAACGCUUCCGUGCCUCGCCCAACACGACGCUGGUUGGCAUCCACGUCAGGCGGGGAGACCAUAUUCUGCACACAUGGUUGCGUCACCAGCGGAAGGUUCCCGACCUGGACUACUUCAACAAGUCCAUGCAAUAUUACGCCGCCAUGUUUCCCGACGUCCGCUUCGUGGCCUGUUCAGAUGACAGGCGGUUUCUGCUGAACAAGCUGGUGCCCAACGCGCCCUUCCCCAUCUAUACAAUCGACAGUGUGAACCAGGUGCACGACAUGGCGCUGCUGGCCGCCUGCGACCACACCGUCAUCACCGUGGGCACUUUCGGCCUGUUCUCGGGAAUGCUCACAGGGGGCAGCAUCGUCGCCGCGUCGCGCCACACCGGCACUCGGGGCGACCCGUUCGACAUUCAGGUCAACCCGCCCGGAGACAUCGGCCAGGCGUUCCUGUGGAAUUAGCGACUGUGCAGUGAGACAUGGGUGGUGUCUCUGGUCUCACCGGUGAUAGCAGUACGUUGCUAUUCCGUUUCGCGAGCUGACGUCACACUUGUGGGGCAAUAGGCUUGUUGACGUCAUGGAGUAAUCCAAUUUGACACGUGCAAUGGCAGCGUGCUGCUAUCAUCGGUGAAACACCACCGUGGACAGGAGUGUGCCUGGAAGCGUGUGGAACAUGUGAUCUUUGUGAUGGGGUCCAUAGUUUUCGAUCUAGUUUGGGUAUGAGCGUGGACGGCGAAAACAGGAGCCUGGAGGACAUACGAGCCUGCCGACUCGUAGGUGACCAUCUUAAGUCACGUCAUAAACUACUCCAUGUCACGGAAUAAUAUUCGUAGAUUGAUAAUACUCAUAGACUCGUCUAUGGUCACGUGAUCAAAGAUGAAGCUUUCCUUCUUCCGUAUCAUUUGCCUGUGCGAUAGAGCUCAGGUCACGUGCUCAACGAGGCAGCUUUUAAGAUGUCUAAAAACCUCCCGCGGGCACCUGUAUUCACCGUUCACCGGUAUCAGGAGGUAUUAGUCGGGGCUGGCAGCGCCACCUGUCGAUAAGUAUUUAAAGUAUUUUUGGCUGUCUGACUGAGCUGACAUGACCGUUGACACCAAUGACGGGCUUUUCAUUUCUACACUUUGAGGCUUUGAGCAUGAAUUGGAUUCCGAAGAUGACAUUAGCGUCAUGACCUCUGACGUCACUGAUAUGCGGUCUGCUGGGCCACUGUAAACCCGAUUAUUAAGGGAAUUUACCAAACUGCUGUUAACCUAUGAAUAGGUUAUGGAAAUGUUUCUCGUCCAAGCGACCUAUAACAGUCGGCAAAUGUGGGUCUGGUAUGUACUACUAACAUCGUGUAUCAAUUCAAUAUGUCGCAUAUCGUUCCAGUGUGGUAUAUGUCAUAUGUAUGUGCGUUAUUGUUUGAACUUUGAACAAUAAGUACUGUGUUCUGAAAACUGUCAAUAGGUACUCUUUGAUAGGUUCACGCUCUUACUGUACAGAUGUGGUGCGCUGCGGGAACCUUUAUUUUGUUACACAUGGUCACUGCGCUGCAUUGCAUGCAUGCUUAGUGACAGUUUUACUUUGUGUAAUGUGCACCGAGAUGUCGAAUUGUAUGGAAUGUGGCAACAUGACGUCUGCUAUGAGUUGGUUUUGCGAAUACAUUUUGUAAAUGGAAACUUAAUAUAAAUCUUCAUUAAGUUUCUCCAUCAGUAUUUCAAGUGUCGGAUGUGUGUCAUAACCUUUGCGAUGAAAGUUAGUUUGGAAUGAGUACGUAAUUUAAGAAUAAAACAUUCAAUGAAUAUUGAAUAGCGUACAAUAUUGUAUAAGGAUGUGAUAUAAUAAAUAAAUGGAUACUGAAUA
rnacentral:misc_RNA from 1 species